rnacentral:rRNA from 1 species
UACAAAGGUGGCAAGCGUUGUUCGGAAUUACUGGGCGUAAAGGGCGCGUAGGCGGCCUUCUAAGUCAGACGUGAAAUCCCCAGGCUUAACUUGGGAACUGCGUCUGAUACUGGGAGGCUUGAGUGCGGGAGAGGGAUGUGGAAUUCCAGGUGUAGCGGUGAAAUGCGUAGAUAUCUGGAGGAACACCGGUGGCGAAGGCGGCAUCCUGGACCGACACUGACGCUGAGGCGCGAAAGUGUGGGGAGCGAACAGG